rnacentral:rRNA from 1 species
UAACACGUAGGGGGCGAGCGUUGUCCGGAAUCAUUGGGCGUAAAGAGCUCGUAGGCGGCUCAAUAAGUCGGGUGUGAAACCCUCAGGCUCAACCUGGGGACGCCACCCGAUACUGUUGUGGCUAGAGUCCAGUAGGGGAGUGUGGAAUUUCCGGUGUAGCGGUGAAAUGCGCAGAUAUCGGAAGGAACACCAGCGGCGAAGGCGGCACUCUGGGCUGGUACUGACGCUGAGGAGCGAAAGCGUGGGUAGCAAACAGG